GGGUUGUGAGGUUAAGCGACUAAGCGUACACGGUGGAUGCCCUGGCAGUCAGAGGCGAUGAAGGGCGUGCUAAUCUGCGAUAAGCGCCGGUAAGGUGAUAUGAACCGUUAUAACCGGCGAUACCCGAAUGGGGAAACCCAGUGUGAUUCGUCACACUAUCAUUAACUGAAUCCAUAGGUUAAUGAGGCGAACCGGGGGAACUGAAACAUCUAAGUACCCCGAGGAAAAGAAAUCAACCGAGAUUCCCCCAGUAGCGGCGAGCGAACGGGGAGGAGCCCAGAGCCUGAAUCAGCAUGUGUGUUAGUGGAAGCGUCUGGAAAGGCGCGCGAUACAGGGUGACAGCCCCGUACACAAAAGCGCAUGUGCUGUGAGCUCGAUGAGUAGGGCGGGACACGUGGUAUCCUGUCUGAAUAUGGGGGGACCAUCCUCCAAGGCUAAAUACUCCUGACUGACCGAUAGUGAACCAGUACCGUGAGGGAAAGGCGAAAAGAACCCCGGCGAGGGGAGUGAAAAAGAACCUGAAACCGUGUACGUACAAGCAGUGGGAGCACAGGUUUACCUGUGUGACUGCGUACCUUUUG
rnacentral:rRNA from 1 species